UACGAAGGGGGCUAGCGUUGCUCGGAAUCACUGGGCGUAAAGCGCACGUAGGCGGCUUUUUAAGUCAGGGGUGAAAUCCUGGAGCUCAACUCCAGAACUGCCUUUGAUACUGAGAAGCUUGAGUCCGGAAGAGGUGAGUGGAAUUCCGAGUGUAGAGGUGAAAUUCGUAGAUAUUCGGAGGAACACCAGUGGCGAAGGCGGCUCACUGGUCCGGUACUGACGCUGAGGUGCGAAAGCGUGGGGAGCAAACAGG
rnacentral:rRNA from 1 species